GAUGAACGCUGGCGGCGUGCCUAAUACAUGCAAGUCGAGCGAACAGACGAGGAGCUUGCUCCUCUGACGUUAGCGGCGGACGUGUGAGUAACACGUGUAUAACCUACCUAUAAGACUGGGAUAACUUCGGGAAACCGGAGCUAAUACCGUAUAAUAUAUUGAACCGCAUGGUUCAAUAGUGAAAUACGGUUUUUCUGUCACUUCUAGAUGGAUCCGCGCCGCAUUAGAUAGUUGGGAAGGUAACGGCUUACCAAGGCGACGAUGCGUAGCCGACCUGAGAGGGGGGUCGGCCACACUAGAGCGGAGCCACGGUCAAGAGUCCUAAGGGAGGCACCAGACGGGAAUCUGCGGCAACGGGGGAAAGCCUGACGGAGCAACGCCGAGUGAGAGAUAACGGCCUUCGGAUCGUAAAACUCUGUUAUUGGGGAAAAACAAAUGUGUACGUAAAUAAGGAGGUAUUGACGGUAACUAAUAAAAAAGCAACGGCUAACUACGUG
rnacentral:rRNA from 1 species